GCAGACACAUUCCAGCCAAUCAGCACCAGACCCUCCCUCCCAGACCCUCCCACCUCCUGGACAGCAUCCAUUGUGAAGCUGCAUUCUUAGUGAGCUGUCCAGGAGGUGGGAGGGUCUGGGAGGGAGGGUCUGCUGCUGAUUGGCUGGAAUGUGUCUG